rnacentral:tRNA from 1 species
GGGGGUAUAGCUAAGUGGUAGAGCAUUUGAACACAGAUCAAGAGGUCUCCAAUUCAAAUCUGGGUGCCCCCU